rnacentral:rRNA from 1 species
AUUGAACGCUGGCGGCAGGCCUAACACAUGCAAGUCGAGCGGAUGAAGGGAGCUUGCUCCUGGAUUCAGCGGCGGACGCGUGAGUAAUGCCUAGGAAUCUGCCUGGUAGUGGGGAAUAACGUCCGGAAACGGGCGCUAAUACCGCAUACGUCCUGAGGGAGAAAGUGGGGGAUCUUCGGACCUCACGCUAUCAGAUGAGCCUAGGUCGGAUUAGCUAGUUGGUGGGGUAAAGGCCUACCAAGGCGACGAUCCGUAACUGGUCUGAGAGGAUGAUCAGUCACACUGGAACUGAGACACGGUCCAGACUCCUACGGGAGGCAGCAGUGGGGAAUAUUGGACAAUGGGCGAAAGCCUGAUCCAGCCAUGCCGCGUGUGUGAAGAAGGUCUUCGGAUUGUAAAGCACUUUAAGUUGGGAGGAAGGGCAGUAAGUUAAUACCUUGCUGUUUUGACGUUACCAACAGAAUAAGCACCGGCUAACUUCGUG